AUUGAACGCUGGCGGCAGGCCUAACACAUGCAAGUCGAGCGAGCGGCGGACGGGUGAGUAAUGCCUGGGAAACUGCCCGAUGGAGGGGGAUAACUAUUGGAAACGGUAGCUAAUACCGCAUACCAUCAGAUGUGCCCAGAGGGGAUUAGCUAGUAGGUGGGGUAACGGCCCACCAAGGCGACGAUCCCUAGCUGGACUGAGAGGAUGACCAGCCACACUGGAACUGAGACACGGGCCAGAAUCCUACGGGGGGCAGCAGUGGGGAAUUUUGCACAAUGGGCGCAAGCCUGAUGCAGCCAUGCCGCGUGAGUGAAGAAGGCCUUCGGGUUGUAAAACACUGUCAGCGGGGAAGCGUUACCCGCAGAAAAAGCACCGGCUAACUCCGUGCCAGCCGCCGCGGUAAUAC
rnacentral:rRNA from 1 species